rnacentral:rRNA from 1 species
UACGUAGGGCGCAAGCGUUGUCCGGAAUUAUUGGGCGUAAAGCGCGCGCAGGUGGUGUGGUCAGUCUGUCGUGAAAUCCCCGGGCUUAACCUGGGAAUUGCGAUGGAGACUGCAAGGCUAGAAUCUGGCAGAGGGGGGUAGAAUUCCACGUGUAGCAGUGAAAUGCGUAGAGAUGUGGAGGAACACCGAUGGCGAAGGCAGCCCCCUGGGUCAAGAUUGACGCUCAUGCACGAA